UAAAUUCAUCUCCUUCAAAUGCCU
rnacentral:siRNA from 1 species